rnacentral:rRNA from 1 species
UACGAAGGGUGCAAACGUUGCUCGGAAUUAUUGGGCGUAAAGCGCACGUAGGCGGCAUUGCAAGUCGGAUGUGAAAUCCCUCGGCUUAACCAAGGAAGUGCAUCCGAAACUGCUGUGCUUGAGUACUUAAGAGGAGAUUGGAAUUUACGGUGUAGCAGUGAAAUGCGUAGAUAUCGUAAGGAAGACCAGUGGCGAAGGCGAAUCUCUGGACAGUUACUGACACUGAGGCACGAAGGCCAGGGGAGCAAACAGG